GUGCAGUUUUAAGCGUGUGGGCCGAUAGGGAGAAGUGCCUCCAGAAACUUGAGUCCCUGCAGUGCCGUCAGUAGUCCACAUCCUGCAUGGAUUUCUACCUGGCAGAUGGUCGGAAAAAUUACACACUUAAUGACCGACUGCAGCUCAACACUCAGAGAUUCUUAGCAACGGAAUGAGGAAAAGAAGCGCUUCCUGAGAGUGGAGUCACUUGCAGCGCCGUCAGCGGUUCACGUCCUGCAUGGAUCUCUUCCUGUCAGUUUUGAAGAAAAAUUAACACACGCCAUAAAUGACUGCAGCUCAACACUCAGGCUCUGAGAUUCUCAGCAGUGGCCGAUGGGGAAAAAGACGCCUUCAAAAAGUAGUUAGUGUCCGUGUAGCCGUCAGCGGUCCACUUCAUGCACUGAUCUCUUCCUGGCAGGUGGAAGAAAUGGCAGCUGGAAGGAAUAAUAACACACAUCAUCAUGACUGACUGCAGCUUAACAUUUUCAGCUCUUGAGUGAUAAAGAACCUGGCAAGGCGACGAACACUCUUCAGGAGACACUGGUAUCGCAGAGAAACCGUCCACCUUCCAGCCACAGCCAGCCAUCGCCCCAGGGAAAGGUUAAUGGAUCUUCCUCAGUGAGAAUCCUUGGUUCGACCGGUGGAUAGCAGCAGCAGCAGCAGUCUCCCACAGGCGCCAGAACACCAAUAAAAUAACGCAAUACAUAUAAAUACAGUCUAUACACGCUGGUGAGGGAAGAAAUAUAUGCACUGAUAAAUUGUGAAAAAUAAAUAUCAGGAAUGGCAA
rnacentral:lncRNA from 1 species